GUAACCCCAAGUUAAUGGAACUUCCCCAAAUCCGGGAAUCUCCCACGACUGUGCACUUACGACUUAGUAUAAACAACAGAUAAGCUAUUCAGACUUUAAGAUGCCAUCUUGAACUAAGUCAGGAAAAUUUCCAUGACGUAUGCACCCUUUAGUUAUGGCCUUGUAUGUUUGCCAAGUUAAGGGAGGUCCUAAAAUGAAUAAAG
rnacentral:lncRNA from 1 species